CGGGUCCGAACCUAGUUUUUAUCUAUUAUUUUAAAAAACAUAUAGGUUACAAAAAAAAACAUUCAAACGUAAGUUGUCUCACCCCACCUGCAAUUUUAUCUCUUUUUGUUUUCUUUUUUUUUUGUCUAUUACCAUAAAAAAUUAAUGUCUGCAAUAUUUUAAUCUUCCAGAUCAGUUUUUUCGUUUAUGAUUCUCUAUUUUUACAGAAUAAGAAAGUCAGAUGAAAGAAAUUAACGAUAUCGGUUUGUUUUAUGUUGAUGGUGAUGAAGUGAACGAAGUAUCGUUUACAUUUCCGAAAUUGAUUCAAUGGAGCAUGUAAGGUACUUUUAGAUCUUAUUUUAGAUCUUUUAGAAUUUAUUUUGCUGCUUUUUUUUACUGUUGCAUGAAUCUUGGAACCCUGCGAAUAGUGAGCAAAAGUUAGUUCGUGACACAAUAGUCAUGAAAAUACAAAAGUAAAUGCAGCAUAUAUAUAUAACCUACAGAUGAAUCAACUAAAAUCAUGUCAAUAAUCAUGUGUCAAUGGUUUCUACGGCGUAAACUUUGUAUUGCCUCCAAGAA
rnacentral:lncRNA from 1 species